rnacentral:rRNA from 1 species
AUUGAACGCUGGCGGCAGGCUUAACACAUGCAAGUCGAGAGGGGUGAUGGUGCUUGCACUAUCACUUAGCGGCGGACGGGUGAGUAAUGCUUAGGAAUCUGCCUAUUAGUGGGGGACAACAUCUCGAAAGGGAUGCUAAUACCGCAUACGUCCUACGGGAGAAAGCAGGGGAUCACUUGUGACCUUGCGUUAAUAGAUGAGCCUAAGUCGGAUUAGCUAGUUGGUGGGGUAAAGGCCUACCAAGGCGACGAUCUGUAGCGGGUCUGAGAGGAUGAUCCGCCACACUGGGACUGAGACACGGCCCAGACUCCUACGGGAGGCAGCAGUGGGGAAUAUUGGACAAUGGGGGGAACCCUGAUCCAGCCAUGCCGCGUGUGUGGAGAAGGCCUUAUGGUUGUAAAGCACUUUAAGCGAGGAGGAGGCUCUUUUGGUUAAUACCCAAGAUGAGUGGACGUUACUCGCAGAAUAAGCACCGGCUAACUCUGUGCCAGCCGCCGCGGUAA